GUUCUGCCUGUGCCCUCCUGGCACAUCAGCAGUCACUGCAGGCACAUCAACAAAAGGCACUGGCUGGCCCCUGCCAGAUAUGGGCAGAUCUCCACCCAUUUGCUCAGUCAAGGACUAAAGAAAGAAACACUCAAGUCAUCCAGAUUUUGAAUACUAGCCCUGCCCCACAAUGGCUGUGGGAUUUAGGAAUCAAUGAAACCAACCCCAACGUACAAUGAUGACCAAAGACACUCCCAUGCCAAAAGGGGAACCAAGCAAUAGUUUCUUCCUCAGUAAUACAAGUCAUCCGGCAAUCCUUGUUUAAAAUCCCUGUCUGUACAACUGGAGAUGGAUGCCAGAAGCUAGAAAUGGCUGGACCACUUCUGGUGGAAAUUUC
rnacentral:lncRNA from 10 species